rnacentral:lncRNA from 1 species
AUGUUGUAUUUUCCAAUUCUACAGGUGAUCAGUGAAACCAUGCUGAAGGUAUUAUUACUGCUGGGAUGCCUCAUGUGCCUCACCCUGGCUGAUUCUAUAGCUCAACGAGGGAAACGCCCACAACAUGGAGGCCCCCCAAAUGGAGGCCCCCCUCAUCGAGGCCCCCCAAAUGGAGGUCCCCCACAUCGAGGCCCCCCAAAUGGAGGCCCCCCUCAUCGAGGCCCCCCUCAUGAGGUAUCUUGCUAUUUUAAAGUGACAUCACAUUUUGCUACUCAAAGGUUUUUAGGAAACCAUUUAUUGUGCAUAUUAUUAUAUUUAUAUAAUUAUAAAUAUUCCUGGUUUUGUCGCAGGGCCAUAAACACCAUCACAGCAAUGAGGAUCCUUCUCUGAACCAACCAUCUACUACAACAACUACAGCUCCAGCUACAACAACUACAGCUCCAACUACAACAACUGUGGCUCCAACUACAACAACUGUGGCUCCAACUACAACUACCACAGCUGCUACUACAACUGUGGCUCCAACUACAACUACCACAGCUGCUACUACAACUGUGGCUCCAACUACAACUACCACAGCUGCUACUACAACUGUGGCUCCAACUACAACAA